UACGUAGGUGGCAAGCGUUGUCCGGAUUUACUGGGUGUAAAGGGAGCGCAGGCGGGGAAGCAAGUCAGUUGUGAAAACUAUGGGCUUAACUCAUAGAUUGCAGUUGAAACUGUUUCUCUUGAGUGGAGUAGAGGUAAGCGGAAUUCCGAGUGUAACGGUGAAAUGUGUAGAGAUUCGGAGGAACACCAGUGGCGAAGGCGGCUUACUGGGCUCUAACUGACGCUGAGGCUCGAAAGUGUGGGGAGCAAAC
rnacentral:rRNA from 1 species